rnacentral:rRNA from 1 species
UACGGAGGGGGCUAGCGUUGUUCGGAAUUACUGGGCGUAAAGCGCACGUAGGCGGCUUUGUAAGUUAGAGGUGAAAGCCCGGGGCUCAACUCCGGAAUUGCCUUUAAGACUGCAUCGCUAGAAUUGUGGAGAGGUAAGUGGAAUUCCGAGUGUAGAGGUGAAAUUCGUAGAUAUUCGGAAGAACACCAGUGGCGAAGGCGACAUACUGGCUCAUUACUGACGCUGGAGGCUCGAAAGCCGUGGGGAGCAAACAGG